GGCGAACGCUGGCGGCGUGCUUAACACAUGCAAGUCGAACGAUGAAGCUGGAGCUUGCUCCGGUGGAUUAGUGGCGAACGGGUGAGUAACACGUGAGCAAUCUGCCCUUGACUCUGGGAUAACUGCGGGAAACUGUAGCUAAUACCGGAUACUUUCACUGGAAGGCAUCUUCUGGUGAAGAAAGAAUUUCGGUAAAGGAUGAGCUCGCGGCCUAUCAGCUUGUUGGUGAGGUAACGGCUCACCAAGGCGACGACGGGUAGCCGGCCUGAGAGGAUGACCGGCCACACUGGGACUGAGACACGGCCCAGACUACUACGGGAGGCAGCAGUGGGGAAUAUUGCACAAUGGGCGCAAGCCUGAUGCAGCAACGCCGCGUGAGGGAUGACGGCCUUCGGGUUGUAAACCUCUUUUAGUAGGGAAGAAGCGAAAGUGACGGUACCUGCAGAAAAAGCACCGGCUAACUACGUGCCAGCCGCCGCCGUAA
rnacentral:rRNA from 1 species